CAGCCGCCGCGGUAAUACGUAGGUGGCAAGCGUUGUCCGGAAUUAUUGGGCGUAAAGGGUGCGUAGGCGGCUUGACAAGUCUUGUGUGAAAUCUCUGGGCUCAACCCAGAGUCUGCACGGGAAACUGUCGGGCUAGAGGAUGGGAGAGGUGAGUGGAAUUUCCGGUGUAGCGGUGAAAUGCGCAGAUAUCGGAAGGAACACCUGUGGCGAAAGCGGCUCACUGGACCAUUACUGACGCUGAGGCGCGAAAGCUAGGGGAGCAAACAGGAUUAGAUACCCCCGUAGUCCCUGUCUCUUAUAC
rnacentral:rRNA from 1 species